rnacentral:rRNA from 1 species
AUUCCAGCUCCAAUAGCGUAUAUUAAAGUUGUUGCAGUUAAAAAGCUCGUAGUCGGAUUUCGGGGCCUGCCGAGCGGUCUGCCGAUGGGUAUGCACUGUUCGGCGCGUCCUUCUUUCCGGAGACUAAUUCUACUCUUAACUGAGCGGAAUUGGGAGACGGAUCGUUUACUUUGAAAAAAUCAGAGUGUUUCAAGCAGGCAGCUCGCUCUUGCAUGGAUUAGCAUGGGAUAAUGAAAUAGGACUCUGGUGCUAUUUUGUUGGUUUCGAACACCGGAGUAAUGAUUAACAGGGACAGUCAGGGGCACUCGUAUUCCGUCGAGAGAGGUGAAAUUCUCAGACCAAUGGAAGACGAACCACUGCGAAAGCAUUUGCCAGGGAUGUUUUCAUCA